AGCUCCAAUAGCGUAUAUUAAAGUUGUUGCGGUUAAAAAGCUCGUAGUUGGAUUUCUGGACAGGACGACCGGUCUACCCACUGGGUGAGCACAUGGUUCGGCUUGGCCAUUUUCUUGGAGAACGCUUCUGCGCUUCGUUGUGUGGGGUGGUAUCCAAGACUUUUACUUUGAGGAAAUUAGAGUGUUUCAAGCAGGCGCACGCCCUGAACACAUUAGCAUGGAAUAAUGAGAUAGGGCCACGGCGGUCUAUUUUGUUGGUUUGCACGUUGUGGUAAUGAUUAACAGGAACGGUUGGGGGUAUUCGUAUUCAAUUGUCAGAGGUGAAAUUCUUGGAUUUGUGGAAGACGAACUACUGCGAAAGCAUUUACCAAGGAUGUUUUCAUUAAUCAAGAACGAAAGU
rnacentral:rRNA from 1 species